AUAAUCGAGAGUUUGAUCCUGGCUCAGGACGAACGCUGGCGGCGUGCCUAACACAUGCAAGUCGAGCGAUGAACCGACCACAGAAGCCUUCGGGCCGAAGCGGAAGGGAAUUAGCGGCGGACGGGUGAGUAACACGUGAGUAACCUGCCUUUGACACGGGGAUAGCCAAGGGAAACCCUGAUUAAUACCCGAUAACAUUAUCAAUUCGCAUGAACAGAUAAUCAAAGCGAAGCGGUCAAAGAUGGACUCGCGUCUGAUUAAUUAGUUGGUGAGAUAACAGCCCACCAAGAUGACGAUCAGUAGCCGGCCUGAGAGGGUGAACGGCCACAUUGGAACUGAGAAACGGUCCAAACUCCUACGGGAGGCAGCAGUGGGGAAUAUUGCACAAUGGGGGGAACCCUGAUGCAGCGACGCCGCGUGAGCGAAGAAGGAAUUCGUUUCGUAAAGCUCUGUCCUAUGGGAAGACAAUGACAGUACCAUAGGAGGAAGCCCCGGCUAACUACGUGCCAGCAGCCGCGGUAAUACGUAGGGGGCGAGCGUUGUCCGGAAUCACUGGGCGUAAAGGGUUCGCAGGCGGAUAGGAAAGUCUAAAGUAAAAAGCGAGGGCUCAACCCUCGUAAGCAGUAGAAACUAACUAUCUUGAGAAGUGGAGAGGUAAGUGGAAUUACUAGUGUAGCGGUGAAAUGCGUAGAUAUUAGUAAGAAUACCGGUAGCGAAGGCGACUUACUGGACACUAACUGACGCUGAGGAACGAAAGCGUGGGUAGCAAACAGGAUUAGAUACCCUGGUAGUCCACGCCGUAAACGAUGAGUGCUAGGUGUUGGGAGGAAUCUCAGUGCCGCAGCAAACGCAAUAAGCACUCCGCCUGGGGAGUACGUGCGCAAGCAUGAAACUCAAAGGAAUUGACGGGGACCCGCACAAGCAGCGGAGCAUGUGGUUUAAUUCGAAGCAACGCGAAGAACCUUACCAGGGCUUGACAUAUAGCGGAACAAUGUAGAGAUACACAAUCCUCUUCGGAGGCCGCUAAACAGGUGGUGCAUGGUUGUCGUCAGCUCGUGUCGUGAGAUGUUGGGUUAAGUCCCGCAACGAGCGCAACCCCUACCAAUAGUUGCCAGCAUGUAAAGAUGGGAACUCUAAAGGGACUGCCGAUGACAAAUCGGAGGAAGGUGGGGAUGACGUCAAAUCAUCAUGCCCUAUAUGCCCUGGGCUACACACGUGCUACAAUGGUCGGAACAAAGAGCAGCAAUGGAGCAAUCCCAAGCAAAUCUCAAAAAGCCGAUCCCAGUUCGGAUUGUCCUCUGCAACCCGAGGACAUGAAGUCGGAGUUGCUAGUAAUCGCAGAUCAGAAUGCUGCGGUGAAUGCGUUCCCGGGUCUUGUACACACCGCCCGUCACACCAUGGGAGUAAUCAAUACCCGAAGCCUGUAAGCCAACCAUGCAAAUGGGAGCAGCAGUCGAAGGUAGGGAUAAUGACUGGGGUGAAGUCGUAACAAGGUAGCCGUAUCGGAAGGUGCGGCUGGAUCACCUCCUUU
rfam:Peptoniphilus sp. ING2-D1G genome assembly, chromosome: I